AGAUUGGAUAUUCGGGUUGUCAUCCAUCAAUCAGAAUUCGGCUAGGACAUCAGAUCUACUAAUCAAAAUCCGGCCAGGAUAUCCGAGUAAGCAAGGUGGAGCUAACCUCCCAUAAAGUCGAGAAUGGUCCAACUAGUACAAGUCGGAUCCGAUGACAAGGUCGGGAUGUCAUUUGAAGAGUCAUAAGAAACAGUUAUAGGGUGAUACAUUUUGG
rnacentral:lncRNA from 1 species